CACACUUCUCUCUCUCUCUUUCUCUCUCUCUUAGGAUAACCAUUUUCCAGAUCUUAAACAAAAAUUCUUCUUCUUAUCAAAAUCCUUCAUAAUCAACCACCAUAACUCCAAAUGCUCCGAACAAAAAAGAUACUCCGAAUUAAAAAAAAAAACUCCAAAUGCUCCGGUUGAAGAUGCGCCGGGAAGAUGCAACCAGAUCCAAAAGAUGCUCCAGAUCCGGUUGAAUAUGUUCGAUAUUGAAGAUGAUGUUUUUCAGAUGACGGUUCAAUGUUGAAGAUAAUCCAAAAGAUGUUGAAGAUGUUCCAGAUCUAAAAGAUCCCCCAGAUCAAUAAGUAUGUUUGUGUUUUUGUAGAUCUUCCCUUUUUGUGUUUUGUAGAUCUCCAACAUUUUUUGUAAUUUUCAGAUUCACAAUUUUUCGUGUUCCAGAUCUAAAAGGUCCUCUAGACUUGCAAUUUUUUUUUGUUCCAGAUCUAAAAGGUCCUAUUGAUACAAUCAUGAAACAAAAUGAGUUUUGUUGUUACAAAAAAAAUAACAAGGUGGGUUUUGUAUAAUAAAGAUAGAGUAAAUUUUGUUAGAUGAAACAAAUGUGUUAGUUUACACAGGUCAAAGGGAUUCGUGUGAGUGUAACAAUUGGGUCAUAAGAAUGUAAUAUUUUUAUUUAACAGAAAGUAACAUGGUCUUUGGUUAUCUUACACUUUUUUUGUGUAACAUCUUUAUGUAACCCAACAUAGCUGGGUUUAGUAAUGUAACAAUUCUAAUAUAUUUUGUUAGUUACAUAUUUAAAAAUUCUAAAAAAACAUAAAUAGAUGAUAUAUGUAACACCUUUUAUGCUUUUUAUUAUUGAUUUUAUAAAUUUUUUUGUGUAAAAAUUUGUUUCAGAUCUAAACAAAUCGAAACAAUUUGAUUUAAGUUCUUGUUUAUUGAAUUAAAAUCGAAGUUACUUUCUUGUUUAUUGUUAUUAAUUGUAGUUUUUCUCUUGAUAAAUUUGUUGAUUUUUGUAGAGUGACGUGAAGCAUGGUGUGGUUCAUAUGACGGUUCGAUGUUUUAGAUCUGAAGCAUUUAGUUCUUGUUUUCUGGAUAUGUUAUAUGAAACAAUUUGAUUUAAGUUCUUAUGU
rnacentral:lncRNA from 1 species